CACCCCCGUGAGAAUGCCCUAUGCAUCCUUCUUGGACACUAGGAGCUGGCAUCAGGCACACAUUAAUUGCCCGCCCAAGACGCCUUGCUCAGCCACACCCCCAAGGGAAUUCAGCAGUGAUAGACAUUAAGCCCUAGGCGAAAGCCUGACUUAAUGAAAGCAAAUAGGGCCGGCCAAACUCGUGCCAGCCGCCGCGGUUAUACGAGGGGCUCAAGUUGACGGAUUUCGGCGUAAAGUGUGGUUAGGAUGAUAAUUAACUAGAGGCGAACGCCUUCCAGGCUGUUAUACGCACUCGGAGUCAGGAACCACCCAUGCGAAGGCCCCUCUAACAGAUCUGAACCCACGACAGCCUGGACACAAACCAGGAUUAGAUACCCUGCUAUGCCAGGCCAUAAACUUAGGCUGCUCUCUACAACGUCAGUCCGCCGGGGUACUACGAGCGGGAGCUUGAAACCCAAAGGACUUGGCGGUGCCUCAGACCCACCUAGAGGAGCCUGUUCUAGAACCGAUAAUCCCCGUUAAACCUCACCAUCCCUGGUUAACUCC
rnacentral:rRNA from 1 species